ACGAGAAACUAUUUUCUCAGUGACGACAGGCACAGAAAAGACAAAAAACAAUAAAAAUAAUUUUGCAGACAUCAUCCAGGAGGAAAAUGGACCGGAUUUUGUCACUUUUCUCGUUCUGUCCAUGUAGCCCAUGUAAGAAAGAAAAUCAACAAGCAGAUCGUUCAGUACCAUUGACGGUGAGUAAUGAGGAACUCCAGAGGACAAAUGAGGAACUCCAGAGGAGAAGCG